AAUGAAUUGCCUGAAAAAGGAUUACCUUGAUAGGGUAAAUUAUGUAAUAAUACUACAUUCAUUAUA
rnacentral:tRNA from 1 species